rnacentral:lncRNA from 10 species
GGUGACUGCAGAACCAAGCUCUGCUGUAGAAAGAGAGCUGGUAGCAAGGCGUCUCUUCACCCUCUGUCCAGUAAUACACACAAGGUGGCUUCAUAUACAAGGCAGCGUGGGAUCUCUGAGGAAGCCCUUAAGAUGGCGCCGAGGCGCUGGAACGGAAGCCCCUUUCCUUGACCAGCUCUCCCCUCCGAAAUAGGGAUUCCAGAAACGCAGGUUCCUGCCUCUCUGCCCGAGGUCUGGCAGAGCAGGUGGUCUCAGUGUGGUUUGAUGGAGGAGCAAAGGCAUUCCAGAUUCAGAACAGCUUCCUGUUCUGCUCACAGCAGCCUCAAAGUCGAUUGAAAGUUUCUGGCAAAAUACAAAUUAUUUCCUGGGAGGAGGUAAGAGAAUGGAUUAAUUUACUUAGUUUCCUAGUUGAGAAUUUCCCAAGGUACUGGGACUCAGAGCAGAUGUGUCAUUAUUGGUGGGGAGGGGAGGUAAAGGAAAGUCUGGCUCGAUUAUUCUCAGCUGCGACCCGGGACUGUGGCGGGGCUUGCACACACUCACAGCUCCUUCUGGAGACCUCCGCCCGCUUAUCUUUGGGGGCCUGUGGUCCCUGCCUGGCCCACUGUUCUGGCGAACUGCGGCCGCCUAAUGCAGUGCCACCAGCCUGCUGAGACGUACAGUGGCUGCUCCCGGGCUCCUGGCACUCUGAAAUCUGGCAUG